rnacentral:rRNA from 1 species
GACGAACGCUGGCGGCGUGCUUAACACAUGCAAGUCGAACGGAAAGGCCUGCUUUCCCUUGUGGAUCGCGGGUACUCGGGUGGCGAACGGGUGAGUAACACGUGAGUGAUCUGGCCCCAACUCCGGUAUAAGCCUCGGAUACUGCAUCUAAUUUGCGAUAGGACUGCAGGGUGGUUCCUGUGGUGGAAAACGAUUUUCUCGUGGGUGGGGAUGAGCUCGCGGCCUAUCAGCUGGGUGGCGGGGCAAUGGCCUGCCAAGGCGGGGACGGGUAGACGGCCUGAGAGGGUGGACAGUGACAUUGAGACUGGGUUACGGCUCAGACUGCUACGGGAGGCAGCAGUGGGGAAUAUUGGGCCGUGAGCGGGAGCCAGAUGCAGCGAGGGCGCGUAGGAGAUGACGGGAUUCGGGAUGUAAUCUCCUUUCGAGCGCGAGGAAGCCACCUGGUUGGAAGGGUGGUGACGGUAGUGGUAGAAGAAGCACCGGCUAACUACGUG